rnacentral:rRNA from 1 species
AGUGAACGCUGGCGGCGUGCUUAACACAUGCAAGUCGAACGGUAACAGGAACUAGCUUGCUAGUUUGCUGACGAGUGGCGCACGGGUGAGUAAUAUAUAGUUAAUGUACCCCAAAGACUGGGAUAGCCACUGGAAACGGUGAUUAAUACUAGAUACACCUCUUUAAUAUAAGUUAGAGAGGGAAAUGUCUUUUCGCUUUGGGAUCAGACUAUAUCCUAUCAGUUAGUUGGUGAGGUAAUGGCUCACCAAGGCAAUGACGGGUAGCGGUUCUGAGAGGAUGAUCCGCCACACUGGUACUGAGACACGGACCAGACUCCUACGGGAGGCAGCAGUGAGGAAUAUUGCACAAUGGGGGGAACCCUGAUGCAGCAACGCCGCGUGGAGGAUGACGCAUUUCGGUGUGUAAACUCCUUUUAUAUGUCAAGAAAAAUGCGGUAGCAUAUGAAUAAGCACCGGCUAACUCCGUGCCAGCAGCCGUCGGU